rnacentral:hammerhead_ribozyme from 1 species
AUCCAUCUGACGACUCCCAAAGAGGACGAAAUGCGCGUCCUGGAU